rnacentral:rRNA from 1 species
ACAUUGAAACAUCGGUUCACGUAGGAUAACCGAAGUUAAGCAACAUUGAACCUGGUCAGUGCCUAGAUGGGUGACCGCUUGGGAAUACCAGGUGCUGUAA